GACAGAGGCCCCGAGCGUUAAUCGGAAUCACUGGGCUUAAAGGGUGCGUAGGCCGGCCCGCAAGUGCUUUGUGAAAUCCCAUGGCUCAACCAUGGAACAGCGGGGCAUACUGCGGGUCUUGAGGAAGGUAGGGGUUGCCGGAACUGUAGGUGGAGCGGUGAAAUGCGUAGAUAUCUACAGGAACGCCGAUGGUGAAGACGGGCAACUGGGCCUUUCCUGACGCUGAGGCACGAAAGCGUGGGGAGCAAACAGG
rnacentral:rRNA from 1 species